rnacentral:lncRNA from 1 species
CUGCCUUUUUCUGAGCGGAUAUUCUUUAUCUCAGGUACAUGUUAUGAAGUAUGUUUGUAACACUUGGAAAGAUAUCUUUGAUAUGUAAUUGAUUUGAUUCUAACAUAUGGAAUCUCAUUUUGGCAUUUUUUUUAAAUAUGUGUGUUAGUGUGCAAGUCAUAAAUCAAAGAUUUUAAAUUUUACUUUCGUUUUCAUUUCGCAUUUAUUGAUCAGGUAUAUAUAAGGUUAAUCAUCAAAUAUUCUUAAAAAAAAAGGCCGUUUACCUCACAAAUUGUAUCUUCGAGUUAAGACUAAACUUAGCAUCUAGAAAAUAUUUAAGUCUUGAAAUUGAGAGAUUCAUAUACAUGAUAUAAACAUUAAUGAUUAUAUAUAAAUAAAAUAUUUUAAACUGAUUGAACUCUUUGUAGCUCCUCUUGUUUUCAUUUCUUUUCUAAAAUAUGCGGAACAUAGACGCAAAACGCCACACGCAAAUAUAUUAACAUGAUUGGUAGAUCGGUGAUUGGUUUAUUAACCUCUCAAUGGCAAUAUUUCAAGCAUGGUCAGGACAAAAACAGAUUUACAACAUAGUAGCAUACUAGGUUCUGUAAGGUCAACAGACCGCCUUAAAGUGUACCUAGGCAUUUAUACUGUCACUGGAGGAUUGAAGGAGCAAUUAACUUGCUUGUCCUACAACAAUGCCACCUACAACUCUUCAGAGAGUGGUCUUAAAGGUUCUCAACGGGCAGAGAAUGUGACACUCAGUAAACGGAUAUAUCUUGUAUUCAGAUUGGACGUAACAACGUUUUUAAAGGGGCACUAGCUGCCAAAUUCAUGUUCAUCGAUUUGACUCAAAGUCUCAUAUUUCAUUUAAAACAAUGUAAAAAGAAAUUCCGAACUAUCAAAAAUAUCAAAUAAACAAUUUACAGGACAUGGUCUCAAUAAGAUGUUGCUUCGUUUCGUGUGAAAUUUAGCCAAGACGCCAUCUAAUUAACUAUCGAGUUGACCUUCUAUGACCAUAUAAGCGAUGAAACAAAAACACAUAAAUAGAUUAAGCAACUCGUGCAAUUGGAUUUUUAAAGGUCUGUUAAAUUUUGUAUUAUAAAUUUAAUCAAUGUUUAUUAGUUUAAUUUGACAAAAUUGAACCAUUUAAGCUGAUAAAAACAAAUUAUUAUUUCACUUUGUCACUUUCAUUAAUGAUUAAACAAAAAAAUCAUACUUUUAAUUUUUUAUCUAUCUCGUAGCUAGUGCCCCUAUAAACAUCCCUUAUAGCCAAGGUUUACGACAUUUCAGCCAGAAUCUUACUGGUAAACACGCAAAGGGAGGAGGAACAGUUCCAAGAAUGAUCAAAUUUCGAUACCUCUGUAUACUUUCGCAUCAUACUCUUUUACUUUUUAUUUAUCUAUUGCUCUCUGUCAUCUACAGGUACAUGCAUGUAUGCUCAUCUUUGAUCCGAUAUCAGUUCUAAUACGGAUUAACGCCUAUGUGCAUUAUAAAUAUUAGCAUCUGAAGUAUAGGACUAGUACAGGUUAUGGAAACUCAAAUGUUACAGAUUUAUAAACAUAGCAUUGUUACUUUUAUUUUUAAACAUUGUCUACAUUCGGUUUUUGUUACUGUUGAAAGUAUUAAAAAUAUUUUCUUUAUUUUAGUAUGUCGAGUAAAUUGACUGAAUGUGGAGUAUGUGAAUACCGCAACAUCAACAAACCAUCAGUGGUCUGGUGUUCAGAAUGUGACGAAGGUCUUUGUGAGGAGUGUAAAGAGCAUCAUGCGGCUUCAAAAGGAUCAAGAAACCAUAGUGUUGUUCCAGUCUCCCAGUACCAGCAACUACCUUAUGGUAUACUAGAAAUUACUCAAACAUGUCCAAAACACAGUGAAAAGUAUCAAAUAUUUUGUAAGAAGCAUGAUUGUCCAUGUUGUAGACGAUGCGUUACAGAAACCCAUAACGGUUGCCAAGAGAUGGAUGUAAUAGAUGACGUAAUCAAAAAUGUAAAAUCAUCAAAUGCAUUUUUAGAGAUGGAACAAACGCUGACAGAACUUUCCGGAAAUCUGCAGAAAAUAAGAAAAGAUCGACAAGAAAACAUAAAAAGUCUCAUGGAAAGUAGGGCAAAUAUAGAAAAAGACGUUUAACAGACACGAAUGUCAAUAAAUAAGCAUCUAGAUAAACUGCAUGAAAGUCUGAUAAAAGAAUUGUAUGCCGCUGAGAAAAAUGAGAGCACAAAAAUCGAAAACAUAAUAUCAUCCAUACAAGAGAACGAAAGAAAAAUUUCAGAAAGCCAAACUACUUUAGAUAAAAUAAAACAACAUGCUUCAGACCUCCAGACAUUCUUAGCUUUGAAAUAUAUCCAACGAGAUGUCACAAACAAUGAACAAUUUCUUGAAACUUUAAUAAAAGAAGAGAAACUAAACAAGGCAUUCAUGUCUUGGAAAAUCGAAAAAGAUGUUGAGAAGCUAACUACCACAAUCAAGAAGAUGGGAACCAUUCAAUUAGAUACAAGGUCAGCUGAUAUAGUAUUAACAAACAGAAAGAAACAACAAGCACAAAUAAUGCUGCCUACCACACCUGUUCCUACCAUUGAUGAUGUCAGACUUACUUUAAAACAAUUUGUGAACACAAACGGAGGUGAUGUCACUGAUUGCUCUUUACUUCCUGAUGGCAGAAUGAUUUUUGCCUGCAGUACGAAUAACAAAAUUCAUGUCCUAAAAAUCGACGGAACUUUGGAUUUUACAUUACAGACAGUAUUGCCAUUAUCUCAUAUCCUCUUUAUAGAUGAAAGUCAAAAACUUGUCGUAUCAACUGGACGUUUGAAAUCAUAUUUUACGAUUAUCGGCAUGAGAAAUGGAAACAGUAAAACAUCUAUGAAAGUUGGUGGGUCAGAUGUUUAUGGAAUAGCUCACAAAGAUGGAAAAUUGUUUUAUAAUGCAGGUAGAAGUGGACUUCGUGUUUUUAGUUUAGAUAGCCACUCUAAAACGCUGUUGGUUAACGUUCCCUUAUUAUGUCAUAGCAGCAUUGCAAUGUGGUCAGAACAACUAUAUUUUAUGUACAAUGAUGAUUCAUUAACAUGCUGUGAUCUUCAAGGAGGAGUGAAAUGGAAAUCAGAACUUAAAGCAUUUCUUAGAGAGCCACGAGGUAUUACAGUGGACAAUUACGGACGUGUUUAGGUAUCGGGCUAUGGAUCUAACAAUGUUGUUGUAAUUUCCCCAGAUGGAAACAAACAUCGAUUACUGUUGUCAGAGAAAGAUGGUCUUAAAAGACCACAGUCUUUGUGUUUCGAUCGAAAAAAUAACAAGUUACUAGUUGCAAACCAACGGAAUGACGCUUUUCUUUAUGACGUUUCAAAAUAAAUUGAUACAAUAUCAAUGAGAUGAGCUUAUCUGUGAGAAUAAAGUGUGUUAUGAAGAACGUUGGAUUGUUGUGUUAGUUCCCAAGUUAGUGUUAUAAAUAUAUAUCUU